GGCCCGCCUGUAGCAGAAGAAAAAAAUGCUUUAGCUGUCACAGCAUGGCAGACCUGAGAGAAUGGCACUUUAGAGGAUAUGGAAGUCCGUUCUAGCCAACAGAAGGAACCAUCCAGCCAUGGGUGGAUGCUAACUCCUAUCACCACCCAGUUUCUCAAACGGACUUACUUUGUGGUAAAGCAUUACUGCUCUGUCCAUUUGCUCCCCUCUUCCUUCAUAAUAGCGUGCUGCUUCGAUCAUAUCUUCUGGAGAACUGAGAAGAGCCAGAUUCAUCAGUUGGUCAUCCAGAUUAUUCUCCUGUUCAAAAUAUCAAGAAGCACCUUUAAGGAUCGCGCUGACAUUACACUGAAACAAGUGGAAGCAAUUGUUUAAAAUUAGCAUCGUCUGUCCCAAUUCUAGCUGGUGCAUUCCCAGCAGAUGGACCUGGACCACCAUCGUCAGUGGGCAACCUAAAGUUGGAAAAGAGUUCAUUCUGGCAUGGGAGAGGGAGAGCAAACACUCACUUAUCUUUCAUCUUGUUGACUUCCAAAAAUAAGACAGAAUCAAGUUGUGAUGGGACUAUAUAUUAUCUAUGAUCUUGAACUUGUGAUAUAUGGGACAGAGAGGGAGUUCAGGAGGAUUCAACUGGGCAAAGUGGAAACACCACACACCAUCCAUCAUCCAGAGAAUUUCCUUACUGGAUCAAUGGCAAGACCACUAUAUAAGUGUAUUAAUUUGAAAAACUGCUAUGGUGGCCCUGCUCUCCCCAAAACAACAUGCUGAAUAGCCUGGACUGCUGCAACAGCACUACUUCACAGACAUCCAUGCAAUUGGGUUUGGACUCAAAGUUAACAUUUACUAGAUCCAGUACUAUGCAUAUGAACAGUUUGAAGAAAAGAAAUCUGAAGAAUCAUUGGAGCUGACGCAGCCCAGAAUAGAAGCAUUAUGACUGAGACAGGAUGUUUAAAUAAAAAUAAGGAAAGUACUAAAGCAACCUGACCUCCAGGUCACUUCGUAAGGGAGGGAGCAUCCGGAGACAGGGCUUUUGCUCUAGGAAACUGCUCCACUCCAACAAGCUGAAAAAAGCUGCUUCUAUCUUUGAAGUGAUUUCCCAGAAGAAGUGAAUGGAGCUUGGAAAAAGCCGUCGCCCUAGAGCAGGCCUUGAACUUUUAACACAGCAUGAAAGCUAUGUGGAUUUAGAUACUUGUUGGCCCACAAGUAUUUAAAUUAUCAGACUUAAGGGUCCAAACAGGCCAAGAUAAAGCUGCUUCGAGUCACUUUGGAGACAUGCUGUUUAAAUGAUGCAUGCAUUCUAAGAGGUCGAAAGCCAUACCAAAGCCAUGCUAAAG